GCCAACAGCCAUAUCACCCUGCAACUCACAACUGGCAACCCACUGAAACUAAGCAGGUGUGAGCCUGGUCAGUACCUGGAUGGGAGACCUCCUGAGAAAAACUAAGGGUGCUGCUGGAA
ensembl:rRNA 5S_rRNA 5S ribosomal RNA